ACAAAAGCCCAUCACUUUUCAGUAAGAAAGGCCUGCACUGCAACGACAACAAAGCGAACCGGCUAAUCACAAAACGAAAACACCUACCACUUACAUGUGAGGAAAUGUACGCCAACAUCGAGUUGGCCUGAAAUAUGCAGAGUGCGACUCCUCUUUCCUGUGAAUUUGCAUUUUUGUUCAGGCAAGACCGCUAGGAACUCGACAUUGUGAUAUCAACAAGAGGAACAUCACAUGUGUGCUCGAGAGUUGCUUUGGUAAUUCUAUCAAGCAAAGGAAAUACUGAUACUUCACACCAAAUAAGGAAUGUAAUAAUUAUUUGGCAUUGAACACAUGACUGAAAGAACCUUCCCACGACUGCUUCAUAACCUGCAAUCAUCACUGCAUCUUGACCCUGCUUUCACACACAGAUCUACAAUUAGCAGAGAGCAGGCAGGACAUGUACUGACAUGGCAGGAACGACAUGGCAGGAAUAACAUGGCAGGAAUGACUGACAGGUUUUGUGAUUGCAAGAGCCGCACAUUGAAGUGGACAAGCAGGCAAGCAAGUCACAGCUGUCACUGUUGUAGAUGCGCCAUACUGUGCCUCCCUGUUCAACAAAUCUGUCACCCACAUGCGAAAUCUCUUGCAGCAUCCAACCACAUUUCCAGACAUAUUGAUCAACAAAACCAGUAAUACCACACGUGCUGCCACACACUUGAACUCCCACAAAACAUGCCACUUUGUGUGAAAACGAAAAGCUGUAUGUGACCUCUGCCUUACAGUAUUAAAAAAAAAAAGCACAGAAAGUAUGAGACCUAGCAUGUAUACACUCAUGUAAUAGCCAUACAUAAAACUUUGGAUUAGACAUAUUCGUCUAAAAUGUUUUUUUUUUUAGUUAAUCUGUGAAUAAGCAUGACCCUGGGUGUGAGACAUUGGGGUGUGAAUUAACGGAGACAUUUUGUCGUGAUGAAAGCAAGAAACCAAACUGAGCCAUAUACACAGAUAUAUGAGGUGUGUUCAAAAAGAAACCGAACUUUUGAAAUAGCGCACCAACCGGCAGAGGGAGCGCGCUGCGGCUACUGAGCGCAUGUAGCGGCAGGUUUAGACAACAAACUGCCAUUUGCCACGUUUCGCUCUGACCGUUAGUUGGCGAGCUACAGCCGCUGAAGUGAGCACAUGAACAAGCUGUU